CAUAUAUGCCUGACCUUGCAUCUGGGCUUAUACGACGUCCGCAGCCCGAACUAUUGAUGGAUCAUGACUGAACAACACACAGCCUUUCGGCGGGAACGGGGACAGUGGACCAUGUCGAUCCCAGACUGCAGAGUUGGCCAGACUCUUGGAGGAGGCGAACUGCUUCAGCCGCAGGGCCCGCGGCUUGGCUGUUUCGAAGAUGUGCCAGAGCUAACGAGCGCAGUGCCGGCAGCCGCGCCGCCGCCGGCCCGUCGCCGUGGCACGCGCUACAUGGUGAAGGGCGCGCCGCCGCCCGGCCCGCAGGUGAUUAGUGAGAGGCG